rnacentral:rRNA from 1 species
ACACGACUACAUUAGAUACCCGCGUAGUCCCAGCUGUAAACGAUGCAGACUAGGUGUUUGGACGGCCACGUGCCGUUCUAGUGCCGCAGGGAAGCUGUUAAGUCUGCCGCCUGGGAGUACGAUCGCAAGAUUGAAACUUAAAGGAAUUGGCGGGGAGCACCACAAGGGGUGAAGCUUGCGGUUUAAUUGGAUUCAACGCCGGACAUCUCACCGGAUAAGACAGCUGAAUGAUUGUCAAUCUGAAGGUUUUACAUGACUAGCUG